CAAAUGAAUUGGACGGGGAGCACUACAACGGGUGGAGCCUGCGGUUUAAUUGGACUCAACGCCGGAAAACUCACCGGGGGCGGCAGCAAUAUGUAGGUCAAGCUAAAGACUUUACCAGAAUCGCUGAGAGGAGGUGCAUGGCCGUCGUCAGUUCGUACUGUGAAGCAUCCUGUUAAGUCAGGCAACGAGCGAGACCCGUGCCCACUGUUGCCAGCAUGUCCUUCGGGAUGAUGGGUACUCUGUGGGACCGCCGAUGCUAAAUCGGAGGAAGGUGCGGGCUACGGUAGGUCAGUAUGCCCCGAAUCUCCCGGGCUACACGCGGGCUACAAUGACUGGGACAAUGGGCUCCUACCCCGAAAGGGGAUGGUAAUCUCAUAAACCCAGCCUUAGUUCGGAUCGAGGGCUGUAACCCGCCCUCGUGAAGCUGGAAUCCGUAGUAAUCGCGUUUCAACAUAGCGCGGUGAAUACGUCCCUGCUCCUU
rnacentral:rRNA from 1 species